GAAGGAAGGAAGGAAGGAAGGAAGGAAGGAAGGAAGGAAGGAAGGAAGGAAGGAAGGAAGGAAGGAAAAUACAACUUGUUUUAAAAUGAUAACUUUCCUCAUAGUCUAAUUUUCAUUGCUGAGUCAAUAUAUGAAAUUUACUAUUAAAAAUGUACUUAAGGAGAGUAACACAGCAAAUACUAUAAUGAUGGAAAUAUAAACACAGCAAUAAACUAAAAUGGCUCAAGGCAUACCAGCUCUGCACACUAGCACCAAAGACCUCUCCAUCGUCAAAUAUCAAGAGACAAUAUCAAGCCAAAGAAUAUCUCAGAGAAGUUUUUUCUCCCUAACUGUUCAAAUCCAUAUCUGACCUCUGCUGGCCAGGUUUCUCCAUGAUGCGUUUGCAGAACACCACAUGUUGGCUUCCCAGGAAUGGCUGAGGCUGGGAAGGGAUAUUUUGCAUAUGGCUAUUUUGAUUCUUCUCUCAGCAGAGUUUUUAGGCAGCUGGGGAUUCUGACCGCUGCUUGUAACAGUUUCCAGAGGCUGGGCAGGCAGCAGCGCUUUGGCAGAUGGCACCGGGCGGGCUGAGGUGUGCGGCUGCUCUCCCGACAGGUACCCGGCAGCCUGACCUCGUUUCGCUCGCCUGCCUGGGAACUCCCCGGGUCAGGUUUCCCACGGGCCAGCACACCUUCACUGCCACCCAGCCACUGGGACAGCUACGGCUCUGCUGACACAAGAAUCCCACCCCUUGCUCACAGAGUGCUUUGUGGUCAGGCUGUUAUUAAUGCGGAUUUUCAUGCUCAUGGUCUUGCUGUGUUUCUAUAAAAUGUAAUUGACUUUCCUUGCUCGUUUUAAACUUUUAGGAAGUGCAGAGAGAAUGUGACUGCAUGGGAACAUGGUGGACUGGCCCAAAGCUGGGCGAGUUCUCCUCUCUGACUGCAAACCUGCAUCUGAGAUGCAUGUGAUGGGUAGGUGAUUAGUUUAAUACAUCACUGAGAGGCGUUCACACACAGGGUGUGCUACAGGGACCUGGGGGAGCACAAGCAGACCACAGUGAGUUGCAUAUUGCAGAGGUACAAGUCCCCACAAACAUCCCAGCCUUGUGCUCAGCCCUCAACGAGAGCCAUGGCCUCAUGGGGAAGCGUCCCCCCUCCCGAGUGCUGCAGGGAGCAUCCCAGUUCCUCAGGAAUAAUAAUUUAAUUUCAAGUGACCAUCUGACAAUGACGGGCCCAUGAACAUUAAUCACAAGUAGCCUCUAAAAGUAGCUGCAGACACAAACUGUAGUGCUCCUCAGAAUUGCCAACUCCUGUUUUAAUGGCAGAGUUUGUGAUCUCUUGAGCUUUACUAUAAAGUGUAUCAUGCACAGAAACUGGCAGCUUUGUGUGGACUUAAAUGUACUUUCUUCUUUCAUGCAUUAAUAUGUUGGUUUCACUCUGUAAUCCUCAGUUAGCCACAAAACUCUGCAGCCUUCUUGAUGCUUGUCCCCUGUUAAUGAGCCCACAAGACUGAUUUCUUGCUCUUAUGCCAUCAACGUGACCUCAUAUUUACAUGGAAAAAUCAGUGGCUGAAAGUAUUGGCGCAAGUCAAAUCCUGAAAUCCUUUCCCAACCAGAAACCUCAUCAAAAUCAGUAGGGCCAAGGAUGUAAGAAUUGCUCAUGUAAAAGUUUCAGGUUGUUCUUUCAAUCUACAAAUCUAAAAAAUACCUGCUAAAAUGCAUCCGAUCAGUUUGCUUUGUGUCUUUUCUUGCUAACUUGAAAAAUGCCUUGAUGAUUGCACAAUCACAGUCCUUCAAAGAACAGCUCUGAUUUGACUCAAAAAAAGCUUCAUAAUGCUGGCUUUGCCACACAGACUUUGGGAUGAAUGGAGUACGUUCUGCCUAUCGAGCCAAAAUCCAUGGAGCAGUGCUAGGAUUUUAAUGAACAGAAAAUCUUUGCUGGAAAGACAGGUUAGACUUGAUUUAUUUUUUUUCUUAAGAAGAGAAAAUAUUGUCGUAGCAGUGGGAAGGAGUCAACGUUUGUUCACUGGUUAAAGCAGUUAUAAGAUCUUGUAUAUGAAAAAGUAUUAGAACAGCAUGGCUUUUACAUUUUCUGAGGCAUAUUUUAUUACAGAUUCGUAUUGAUGAACAAAUGCCAUGAGCUCUUCCCACUCCUAUUGACAUUAAGGAGUAUUUUGUCAUUCAUUUUCUAAGGAACAACUUUUGGUUAUUCUUUUUAUUCCAUGCACAAGAAUGCUAACUGAGCAGCACAGGGAUUUAACUUCAGAACACGCUUGUGGGACAUUACAACACAGACAAUGCAGAAAACCUGAUUUUAAAGAUAUGUCUUAACACAGACACUGCUGUAAGAUCAGGGAAUGAGCCUAUUGUGUAGACAGCAGGCAGCCAUGGAAAUCAAGGACCGCAGACUGAAUUUAAGUGAGUUCCUACUGCAAAGCAGGAGAGGAUAAUGUGAUUCAUGGAUGUAUGAACAAGGAAGUAGUGAGUAGGAGGGGGGAGCUGAUCUUAUCUCUCCCCACUGCUCUGGUAAGACUAAUACUGGCAAAGUGCAUAAAGUUCUGGUGCCUUGUAUUUUAAUUGUAAAAGCUGGAGACAGGUCAGAGAGAGGAUGAGAGAAAAAUGUCUCUCUCUAGUGAAAACCUGGAAGGAAUCUCUCUGCUUACCUUAUCAAAAAGAUGGAGACAUUACUUGAUUAAAGCAUACACGUACCACCACAACAAGAUAAUACCAUAUGCAAAAGAUCUUCUUCAUCUAGUGGAGAGAGCAUAGCAGGAAUCAACGGCUGGAAGCUGAAGUCAAACAAAUUCAUACAAAGAAACCCAGGCAUGCAUUAUUAAUAGUAAGAGCAAUUAAUCCUGGGAACUACUUACCAAAAGUAGGGCUGGAUUCUCUGUCUCUUGAUGUUUUCAGAUCAAGAUUGGAUGUCUUCCUAGUAGAGAUGCCCCAGGCAAACCCUUAUGAAAGGGAAGCAUGGUGAGACAUAAUAGUCUGUGAUACACCAUCAGACCGGUUGAGUAGAUGAUCCUGUUCUUUCUACCCACUGGCUCUAUCUCUGCUAGUAAAUUAAAGCGUCAGGACCCAGGCCCAGAUUCCAGAACAUGAUCACCUAUGCUAUUAAAUUGUUAGGACAGUCCUUCACACGUUGUUGACCAGGGUCAACUGGCCCUCUCCCAGACACACUUAGCACAGUUUGGGAACAAGCAUAGUCCAAGGUUACAGGAAAUUUGGACAUGGAUACUGUAUUUUGGAGAGGAAAGGAAUAUAGUAGUGGUAUAUGCUGACCAGCUAUCCUUUGGCAAAAUCCAUUUUCACCUGUAUUACUUGCAAAGAUUUGAUUUGGCUACAACAGCUUGAGGUUUGACACCAACCAAGAGAAAAGUCUGUGAAUCAAAUAUUCCAGAGCCGCCUCCAAGUAGGUGGAAUGAUGUUGACACACUCACAGCUUUGAAGAGCUCUAAAAGGGAAAAAGGAAGAAUGUUUUGACAUAUUUUAAAUAUUCAGAAAGGCUAAUUGUUUCCUGAAGUAACUGACAUUCCAUAGGAGCAGUGUAUUCCUGCUCGUCAUGUCCAUACUAGAUGGAGACAUUGCAGCAGUGCUUCCCACACAGCCCUGGCAAUUAGGCAACAUGGAGCCUGAUGACUGGGAUCUUUUAAAUGUCAACACAGCUUCCUAUUCCAGUGCUCACCCGGCCCUCAUUAGCAGCACUGAGUUAAUGUCUUUGUUGCUGCUGGUGAUGAUGUGCAGGGACACGAGUGCUACCCCUCGAUGUCUGCUGUAAUAGGAGAACAAGGAGUGCAAGUUCAGGAUUUAGUAUCUCAUCUCAGGGAUCCCACAAGGAUGCUCUUCACUGUUUCUGAGCGCUAGAAGCAUUUCUUGCCUCCUGAAUAUUAAACAGACACUAACCCUCAGGCUUUUUAUAGAAGAAAAAAUCCCAUAUGCUCUGGCUAAAGCUAUAGCAGGCUCUAAACAAUUUCUACAGUGAAAUUACAUCUACAAUUAAUUUUUUUCCAGUGAUGUUGAACCUGGCAGCACAGUAAAUAUUGUAUGGGUCGUAGAGACAGCUGGGCAGCAGUUGCUGGGCUACCACUGUGCACAUCAGAGGCCCCUAAUGCAUCAGUUUGUCUAUUGGGAGACAUGGGACAAAGGACUGGAAUUAUAGCAAGCCCCUAUGUAAAAAACUUCCAGAUUUCAUCUCUGUUUAUAAAUCAACUAACACAGAACCCCCAAGAGAAACCAAAAUAGUACUGCCACUUCUUUCUAGUGUAAGAAAUGAAGGUAGAAAGACCAGCUGUUUUAGGUCCAUGAGAUGUACAAAGAGAACUGGAGGGCAGGUCUCCACUGCAGACCUUUGUGCAGAGACACCACAUGGCUUUUUGGUCCUGGAUGCCUUCAAAAAAGGCAUGGUCCUGGAUGCCUCCAAAAGAGAUGUCUUGCUCCAUGCUGAGUACUGAAGUGCCACGUCUAAGUUAACAGGCAGUACCUGAAUGAGGGACUUUAGCAUUAGUUCCCAUAUCUCCCCAAAUCACCCUUUUACUUGGUGUGUAUCAAAAAUCUCUUGCCCAAGAAAACAGAGCAAUUCUGAGUCACUCUGAGACUCUCCAAAAGAGCUCCACAGCUGCAGCAAGGGAACGCAGAAAGUGCCUUUUCAGUUCUCUUCUGCAAGCCUGAAGAUCCUAUGCUGACAACAAGGUCAUCUACCUCAGAUCAAGGUUUAUUAUUUUUGUGAAACUCAGAUCACUCAACACCUGGAGGCAAUUUCCUAAGCAUCUGCACUUUUACAAUGUGAAGCCAAGGUGGGAUGAAAGGGCAAAACCCAGUCGACUCUCAGAAAAUCUGGCACUCCUGGGCUUUGCAAGCUUGCCUUAACUGAGUAAAGUUGCCAUUUGCAGGCUAUCUGUGAAAAGCUUCUGGAUUAAGUGAAACAACGCUGUGGUUGUGGUUUUCACUUCAUUAUACAGAACACACUUAUUUUAAAAAAUUUCAUUCACAUUUCAUGCUGGCCUUAAAACAUUAUGUUGUCAUAAAAGGUGGAUAUAACACUGACAAGCAGUGCUCUGAAAAGAUGAUACAAAUACGUGAGUGAGGUGUAGAGAGGCUCAUGGUUUGGCCAUCACUCAUCCCAGGCCAGUUUGUGCUCCUGCAGUGACACCUCAGCAAGGUUCAGGAGCUGAACCACUGCCAGCAGGCAUUUACAAUGGGACCACUCAGUUUUGGGGAGAAGUUGCUUACCUGUGUGGUCAUGAGGAAUGUCUCAACUCUAGGCUAUGGGGCAGAAAGGGUCCUAGAACUACUUUAUAAUUCACAGUGGUGACAUCUUUGGAUUUAUCUUGCCAGGACAUGAGAGGAAAGGAGCAAAUGGAGCUCUCUGAAGCAAUUCAGACAUCAGGACUUAGCAGAAAAAAAAUCAUUAUUAAAUUCAUUACAUAAAGUUUAGGUGUCUACAUCUAAGGGUCAACACAUGAGGUAAAGAAGAAGUUGUUUUUGUCACCUGAGACCUUCUUGGUACUCUCUUUGGCUUAUAGACAACAGUGCAAACAUCUUUGGGAUUGUGCUGUGUCAACUCCCACAGCACCACAUAGAAGUCUUGUGCAUCCCAGGACAUGAGUCUGGCCAACGGAGCUGAGCCCACAGCCCCUCUUCAUACAGAGCUGAAACCCACCCCAAACUUCCUAAGGAAUGAUUUUUAAAUUUGUAAUAAAUGUCAUGAAUUAAAAAGACAGACAAAUAAAAUAAUAUAUUGGUCGUUUAAUUAAGAUAAUUACAAAGAUUAUCUACUGCUACUCUUAGUUGUUUUAUUCAAUGCAUAGAGAGGUAUCACAGAUAUCAAGGGUUACCAGUGUGGAUUUCCAUACUGUGUAUUACUCUUCAUUCUGCAAUUCUAGGUCCUGGAAUUUUGCCUGUGUGAGAUGGCAUUGUGUUUUCAGAGAAGGUCAUGGGUGGAUCCUGUCUCUGGAUGCAGCACUGGUCUCUGGUGUUUUUAAUAUUUUUAUAGACCACAGAAAGCAAAUGUGGGGAUAAAUUCCUAGGACAUAUCUGUGCUGCUGUUGCCCCCACUAUGAAAGUGACAGUGAAUUUCUCAGCCUGAGGGUCUGCAGUGUGAGAACUUCCAAGAGAACAAACAAAGGGACAAUUGUAAGAACAGAGUGGUUUGGCAAAUAAAUGAGUAAGAGACUUCCUUGGGCACAUUCAGACUUGCCAAACUGAACCUGAACACAUGACCUAGCAUCUGUCAGGACAUGUCUGUGUCCAUGUCCAGUCCCGUGAGGGACAUUUUGCCAGGCAGGCCAAGAUCUCAGAGAUCUCCACACUGCUGUUGAUGGUCUGCUGUGUCAUAGAAUCCCAGAGUAUCCCAGGGUGAAAGGGAUCCACAGCUGGGUUAUAGAAUGUCUUGAGGUGAUGAGAGAUCCUGGGAGCAUCCCUCAUUGUUGUCAUUCCAUUUUUGGGGUUUUUUUCUUCUACCUUCUGUAACACUUUCAGCAUGUGCUGAAAACCUGGGUUCAAUUUUGAACCACAUGUCCUUGGAAACUGGAGCAACCCUGUCUCAACCAUACAUUCAGAAACUUGGGACACUAAAUGCCUCUGUGCACCUUGGAUUAGGCAGUGUUUCACCAGUCACAGCAGCAACCUUUAACGAAAUGUUUUAAAUGAACAUAACUUUAUUAGAGGGAAGGGAGGGAAGGAAACAGCAGGAAGCAACAGUUGGAGAAAUCUGAAUAAACACCCAGCCAGCCCCAGGCUUGCCCCUCAGCUGAGUUAUAAGGGAAUUAGCCUGGACUCAUCUUUCUGCUUGCAGCUGUGACAGCACAAAGGGAUGGCACUGCCCUCCUGCCUGCUCCCAUUCACCUUGAAACCCGUCUGUGCUCAGGGUGUUACAGUGCUGCUCAGGCCAUUUCCAGGACUCUGAGUAUCCCAUGGACAAUGUUCCCAGCCCUGCUGCUGGUGUCCCCAUGGAAUCAUCAGGCCAGGUGCAGAUUUUGGGACCUUGCAAUAUAAAUCUGGUAAUCUGGGUUCCUGUUUCAGUGGAGCAUCUUCAUGAAAUAAAUCUUACUGAAAUCUGCUUCUCCAUCACCAGAAGAACCCCCCUGGAUAAAUCCCACCUCUCUCCCUCCUGUAAAUGGCUGUGAUGAUCUCGCUUACCUGUGCUGGAUCUGCAUGGCUGAAAGUUAGUGACAAUGUACAGAAAUAAAAUCAGCUUUUUCACCA